GAUGGUGCAACUCUCCUGCGUGCAGGAUUUUUUUUAGGAAUUUGAAUUCCGCCUUCCCUGUAGAAUACAUCCAUUCCAGAAUAGUCCUACAAUUCGUAUUGUGCAACUUCUGCAGAAGGGUCUAAAGAAAGAAAACAUGCUGAAUGGCUUGUGCGUAGUUAAUUGUCACUUUCUGCAGCGCAUACAUCGAAAUGUCAGUUUUCUUCGAAAUAGAUGGUUUAAGAGUGGUUUCUGCUUCUGAUGUAGACAGAUAUCUAGUUAAUACUCGCACGAAUCAUUCUGCAGUCGAAUAAGGCUGUGGGAAUAAUGUAUAUGGUGCUUAGCAGGUAAAUAAACGAGCGUUUGCAUACAAACAGCUAGAAAAUAGCAUUUGAACUUUCUCUGCAACAGAAGAUUGGGUAGCUCACCACUUCGUUCAACAUGACAGUGUCGUGGUGGCUAGUUAAAGGCAGUUGGAGAGCUCUACCAAGGCUUUCCAUCCCAUUUUUGUUUUUCACCAGUGGUGAUAUGGUAUGGUCGGGAGCAUAGGAGUGCAUGUAAACAUUGUGACGGGUUAUGCAUUGUCUUGCAAUUUGCGAUGCACUGCUGCACUACGAUUGUGAUGCAACAAUCAAGAAAGGACAGAAGUCCUAGCUGUACUUGCCGGCUCCAUUGGCGUACGCUGCAGUAGCCCCUGGAGGAUUUUCACCAACAGUAAUGUAAGUUGUAAGUUGUAUGCUGUCACUGCACUAAUUGCACACGCUAGGCACGCCCACUGUUUAGAGCCUGAGCCCAGCCUUGUUGGACCUAGAGAUUGUCUUGGCUCGUUCUGGGCUCUAACUGCUGCUGCUGAUACAGCGUGCAGUCGUCUAAUGUGUGCUCUCUCUGCAGCAGAUAUUUAACAGUGUGCACCUGUGCAGCAGGGAUGGGUGACAGCGUGGCAGCCAGCGACUUGUUACUGUGCUGGACACCAGUUUUCCUUCCUUGGAACGGCAUCGUUACUUCUCUGUCCAUCACCUUGGACCUGCCAUAGUAUCUGCAGCUGGAAGUGUUUGGGUUUUUGCUAUUUCCCUAUUCGGACCUUCUCUACAUCAUCUGUUAUUCAUAACGGUAAUGUACUUUUUUCCAGCGCCAGCUUUAAACUACAUAAGGCAGUCCUUUAAUAUCUAGCUGAAACCUCAAGGCAGUCCUGCUACUAGAAGAGAUGGAAAUAAUAAAAGUAGCAACAACACACUGAACUUAAUUAUGAAAAAGCUACUUGAAGAGAGCCUUUUGUAUCACCCACGUCACAAUGUUAAUAAAAAUCUAGGCUGCUGCUUGGCAAAAAGCCAGCAUAUGAAGAGCGAUAACAGAACAGGCUGCCUCCAUUAGGCUGAAACUUAUUUCUUCCUACAACCAAUACUGUACUGAUAUUUUUUCUGUGCUGUGUGACCCUUAUGGGCACACAUUUUCUUUAUCUGUGCAAAAUUUAGCUGCAGGCCAUCUGAGCUUUACAAUCCUAACAGUUCAGAAACCAAUCAUCUCUCUGACUUAACCAAAAACUGAGGAUGUCAAAGCUGCAAAUAAGUUGUUGCCACUGAGUCUACCUGUUAGAUCUUAUAUAGUAUCACCUUUUAUAGGUUACAUAAGAUGCAGAAAUGUAAAGAAGUAGUAGAACUACAUGGCUUGAAGGACCAAUGAGACAAUUUUUAAACAUUUGGGAGUAAAAAUAAUCAACCACGUUUGGAGAAUUCACAGAUGAAAGCUGACUUUUGCAAAAUUCCAAAUGAAGCCAAGGUUCAGCAUAGAAUCAGACCCUUCUGUGUGGACCAGCAAGGAAUAUGAAAAUAUUCUCCAAAUGAACAUGACACAAGGGACAGAGCUGAAGCAGGUAGAAACAUCCCUCUCAUCUGUCAUUGCUCUGGUGGUGGUACUAACUAUAACAUUUACACUGGUAUUGACCUCCUUGGUGACAUAUCAAGUCCACAAGUGGAAACUGAAAAUAAAAAAGCUGAAGAAAGCCCAAGAGGAAUAUGAAAGAGAUAAUAAGAAGAUUAAACACCAGAAUAAGACAACAUCUCCUUAGAAACUUUCUUGGACCUGAGUAAAGAAGAUGCAUUUUUAUAAAGGAAAACAUAUACUGAAACAAAAUAAAUCAAAGCAUUAUAUCUAUAUCAUAUAAUCAAUUGGUAUCCUUUUAAUCUGAUAUCAAACUAUCUGAUAUCAAACUAAUAUUAUUCAGAAACAAAUAAUGCCAAGCUAAAAUGUUAACCAGAGAAUUAACAUCCUUAAUUACAUUUAAAGCCCUAUAGUUUGAGACAACUGUAUGCAUAUAUAUAUAUAUAUAUAUAUAUAUAUAUAUAUAUAUAUAUAUAUGUAGAUAUUAGUCGCACUGUGUUUAUAUUAAACUUAAUUUACCAGUUUGUCAUUUAUUCUCUCUUAGAUUCUCAACAAGCAAAGAUUAUAAGCUUAAACAUGUAUGCUAUGUUUCCAAACCACAUUUUUAAAAAAUGUUAUGCCUGAGGAUAUAAAUAAAGUACACAAAAUACAAAUAUAUUAAGGAACAAAGGAAGGCCUGACAGAAAUGUAAUCAAUAUUUGCCCUGACAUUCACUGUAUAUACUUACAAUAUGUGUGAAGGGCAAAUAUUUGAUGGAAGGAUAUAUUUUAUUCUGCUAUGGGAGAAAUUGUAUUUUCUUAAACAUGAACAGUUCAGACAAUAAAUAUAAGUAUUGUUGAUACUGAACAAAGUUUUUGAUCAAUUAUGGUUGUUUUGCACAUUAAAUAAAUAGCUAUAGAAUAUGAA